GAGAUUGGAUCAUGUAAAAACAAACCUUAAGCUGAAAACUGAAAACAGAUGAUCUAGACCAUUGAAUUUUUAUUUUGUAAUCUUGACCGUCCAUUCUCUCUGCUCUAUUUUUAUCUUUCUUCAAUCUCACGAUCUCACUAUUUCUCUCUCCUCCUCCCAAAAAAUCAUCAAAUUUCAGAGGAAUUUGCUUCAAUCUUCAUCAAUAAUUUGCUUCAAUCUUCAUCAAUUUCGUCUUUAGCUUCAAAAUUGAACCUGAAAAGUGAGUUUUGCGUUUCAACAAUCAAUUAUGUGAGUUAAUCAUUUUCGUCGCUGAAUAUUCAUCCCAUUGAAGCGAGUUUUGAGCUUUCUCCUCCAUUGAAGCGAGUUUGAGCUUUCUCGAUCCUCCAUUGAAGCGACUUUGAGCUUUCUUCUCCAUUGAAGCGGCUUCUCAGUCCUCUUUGGCUCUGGUGGUGGCUUUCAAGAUUCUUGAAACCAGAGGUCUAGGGUUCAAGGACUGGUGGAAAAACAGCUACAGAGGAAAGAUACUAGAUGAGUGCAAGUUCUGUGGCAGGGAGGGUACUAUUACAAUGAUACCAAAAUCUGGCCGCUAUCUAACAGGUGAUGACUGUGAAGCUGGAAAGUUUGUCCGUUUGAUGAGCUUUGAUUGCCGGGGUUUGGAGCCAGUGGACUACUCCUUUGGUGGUGACAAGGAGGAGCAGGAGAAAUUAUCCGAUGACAAGGAGGAGCAUGAGAAAUUAUCUGAUGACAAGGAGGCCAGAGAAGGAGAAGUUGAUGAUAAUUACCUUACUUUUGUAAAUAGUGACAUCUAUAUAAAUGUGGUCAAUGUUGUCAAAAUUUAUAUAAUUACCUUAUUUUCGAUAUAAUGACCUUAGAUUUAUGGAAAUGUUGUAAAUUUUGGUUCAAUCACCUUAUUUUUAUAUAUAGUGACCUUUAUUUUUGUAUAUAGUGACCUUUAUGUAAAUGGUGUCAAAAACUCAGAUAU